CUUCGGAUAAGGGAAGAAAGAUAGAUAACCAACAUCAUAUCAUUGGUUUUCACAGCAAAAGCCUUGAUUAAAUCAGCCACAUUUAGGUUUGGAAGUAGAUUGAAUACAUCCUGCAAAUGGUACAAAAUCUCAUGGUUUAGUGGUAGCUUUCCAUCAAUGACAAGGUCAAGAUAACUACGUAUUUCUCGAAGUCGAGCAUCCAACCCUUUCAAAGCAGUAAGUUUCCCAGACACCUCAGUUGCAAGGGUACUAAUGGUGGUGUCCUUCACAUCCCUUAGUAAGUGUUCCACACCAAUUUCCUCAACUUCAUGAGCAGCAAUUUCUGAUGGCACAUGCACAAACACCUUCUGGCUUUUCUGGGUUGCAUUCUCUUUCACCUCUUCAACUGCACAGUAAGCUUUCGUGGGUAUUCCCAGCUCCACUGGUUGGACAUCAAUUAUGACCAAGACAGGAUUUGGAACAUAAUCAUUAAAUAGCGCAUGAAUAUCCAGGUCAUUUUCCCUCAGUUUUGGACCUGUGCUGUACCAACCCACCACAUGCUCCUUGGCAUUUAUUCUUUUGAA
rnacentral:misc_RNA from 1 species